UACGUAGGGUGCGAGCGUUGUCCGGAAUUAUUGGGCGUAAAGAGCUCGUAGGCGGUCGUUCAAGUCGCGUGUGAAAGCCCCCGGCUCAACUGGGGAGGGUCACGCGAUACUGAUCGACUCGAAGGCAGGAGAGGGUAGUGGAAUUCCCGGUGUAGUGGUGAAAUGCGUAGAUAUCGGGAGGAACACCAGUGGCGAAGGCGACUACCUGGCCUGUUCUUGACGCUGAGGCGCGAAAGCUAGGGGAGCAAACGGGG
rnacentral:rRNA from 1 species